ensembl:lncRNA
UUGCCGCUAUUAUUUAGAUGGCAAUAUGCGACAGGAAGUGCACAAUAAUUAGAUUAUGAUAAAUAAUUCUGACAAUACUAAUCUGAAUGUCAUCUGAUUGUUUCGGUUUGUGCAUUGAGUAAAAAACACCUAAAAAUAAGAUUUUCCUUUAAAUUUCUCUCUUUUAAUGCUUGCCUUUGCAGAUUAAAGCUAUUCUAGACAGAAAGACAGGAAAGGAAUGAUGGACAGAAGGAGAGGGUGUGAAAAGAAACAGCUCAGUAACGUAAUUCAGUGAGAAUACAGCGUUCCUCUGCACUCAUUUGGGAGACAUUGUGCUGUCAAGGAGAUCCACCAUCUCUGAGCAACUGCAGCUGAUGAGCACGUAUCAAAUUCAGCUUCUGUGUCUUCCCUUCUCUCUCUGCCUCCUUCCUCUUCUCUCUUGAGGAAUCGUUUCGAUGUCUUCUCUGACUUGCUAAAUGAUGAUGGCUAAAUCUCCACACAGCUGCCAUGCCAGAUCCACUGCAGGACCCGGUAACGAUUGAAAAAAGCGACUGACUCUGUCAGUCAUCCAGAUACACUACCACUUUCCCACGAGACACCGGUUCAGAAGAGACUGAGAUUUAGAAAGAGAAGUUUGAAGUGUUGAACUCACUUUAAUACUCAUCUUUCUCUAUGCCAAUAAAUACCUGAGAUACAUACUUCAGCAUUUACUUACAGACACACUUGCGCUGAAGCCUAAUUUGGUUUAUUGGCUUGGUAGGUGGCUCAUCUCCAAGCAUAACAUGUUUCUGCUCAGGUUGGGGAGUUGGGAAAUCGGAGAUGCAGUUCCAGCAUAAAAAGUGAGAAGGGGUCUGGCCUCCACACCCUGCCGUACCACAAAGCGUCUGUGUCCUUUACACAUUACAGUGGAAAGAAGGUCAAGAGUGACUGUGCUGAUUAAGCUGGAUCUUCUAAACAUAUUUUUAGCUAACUGCUUGAACACAUCCGGUUUACUGACACAGGCAUCUGAAGGAAACUCUAUCAUCCCCUGGAGAACUGAGGUUUGUUACACCACAUCAACACAAGAACUUUAUGUAUGAUAAUAAGGGAUUUGUAUGUACAUGUCUACGACCGUGUAGUGACACAUUGAUUUGGGAUAGAAGAAAUCUUCCAACAUGAAAAAAGUGACUAACAUCACCCUUAAAGAAUGGAUGCAUCCCUCCCGUACUCAACCAACACCAAACAAUGACAAGUGAGCAAACACACACCAGUGCACCCAGAACCAAACACUAAAUACACACAUCCUAUACCA